AUGGCAAUAGCAUGGAUGACCACCAUCAUCUCCUCUACCAUAAUCAUCAUGCUCUUUUCCUCAGCCACCACUGCUCAGACCAACAACGACAAUGGUGGCAAACCCAAGAGGACCCAUUUCAUUGUUGAAGCAUGCAAAAAUGCUUCAAUCAACUCCUCUGAAUAUCGUCACGUCACAAAAGAAUUCUGCGUCUCGGCCCUCCAGCAGGACAAGCGGAGUGAUGAGGCAAAGGACCUUCAUGACCUGGCCCUCGUUGGUGUAGACAUUCUAAAGGGACAUAUCAUUGCCGCAAGUGGCAAGGUCAAAGAAAUGAUGCACAGUGCCAAGAAUGGCACAUCAACAGCACAACGCCUCAGAUUGUGUGAGAUGGACUAUGAUGCCGCGGUGACCAUCCUCAAAGUCUGCAACCCCAUGCUCAAGGACUACCGCGGUCCCAAAGGUGGUGAAAAAGUUGGACCACCUUCCUUUUAUUUACCCGACUGUGUGGAUAAGGCAUCCGGCUUUGUCAGCUACUGUGAGCAUGAGCUUGUUGAUAUGCCUGGGCAGGAAGCAUUGUACAAAGAAAGUAUUGAGCUCGGCAAGCUGGGCGACCUCAAUGUUGCCUUGAUGCAACCAUAUUGGGAUUUUACCCAAAAUUAG
rnacentral:rRNA from 1 species